GACGAACGCUGGCGGCGUGCUUAACACAUGCAAGUCGAACGGAAAGGCCCUUCUUUUUUGGGGUGCUCGAGUGGCGAACGGGUGAUUAACACGUGAGUAACCUGCCCUUGACUUUGGGAUAACUUCAGGAAACUGGGUCUAAUACCUGAUAGGAGCUCCUGCUGCAUGGUGGGGGUUGGAAAGUUUCGGCGGUUGGGGAUGGACUCGCGGCUUAUCAGCUUGUUGGUGGGGUAGUGGCUUACCAAGGCUUUGACGGGUAGCCGGCCUGAGAGGGUGACCGGCCACAUUGGGACUGAGAUACGGCCCAGACUCCUACGGGAGGCAGCAGUGGGGAAUAUUGCACAAUGGGCGGAAGCCUGAUGCAGCAACGCCGCGUGCGGGAUGACGGCCUUCGGGUUGUAAACCGCUUUCGCCUGUGACGAAGCGUGAGUGACGGUAAUGGGUAAAGAAGCACCGGCUAACUACGUG
rnacentral:rRNA from 1 species